GAACUUUCUAGAGAUAGAUUGGUGCCUUCGGGAACGCAGUGACAGGUGCUGCAUGGCUGUCGUCAGCUCGUGUUGUGAAAUGUUGGGUUAAGUCCCGUAACGAGCGCAACCCUUAUCCUUAUUUGCCAGCACUUCGGGUGGGAACUCUAAGGAGACUGCCGGUGACAAACCGGAGGAAGGUGGGGACGACGUCAAGUCAUCAUGGCCCUUACGACCAGGGCUACACACGUGCUACAAUGGUAAAUACAAAGGGACGCUAAGCCGCGAGGUGGAGCUAAUCCCAGAAAAUUUAUCGUAGUCCGGAUUGGAGUCUGCAACUCGACUCCAUGAAGUCGGAAUCGCUAGUAAUCGUGGAUCAGAAUGCCACGGUGAAUACGUUCCCGGGCCUUGUACACACCGCCCGUCACACCAUGGGAGUGGAUUGCACCAGAAGUAGUUAGUCUAACCUUCGGGGGGACGAUUACCACGGUGUGGUUCAUGACUGGGGUGAAGUCGUAACAAGGUAGCCCUAGGGGAACCUGGGGCUGGAUCACCUCCUUAAACGAA
rnacentral:rRNA from 1 species